rnacentral:rRNA from 1 species
GGUGGAGCAUGUGGUUUAAUUCGAAGCAACGCGAAGAACCUUACCAGGCCUUGACAUCCAAUGAACUUUCUAGAGAUAGAUUGGUGCCUUCGGGAACAUUGAGACAGGUGCUGCAUGGCUGUCGUCAGCUCGUGUCGUGAGAUGUUCGGUUAAGUCCGGCAACGAGCGCAACCCACGUCCCCAGUUGCCAGCAUUCAGUUGGGCACUCUGUGGAAACUGCCGGUGAUAAGCCGGAGGAAGGUGUGGAUGACGUCAAGUCCUCAUGGCCCUUACGGGUUGGGCUACACACGUGCUACAAUGGUGGUGACAGUGGGUUAAUCCCCAAAAGCCAUCUCAGUUCGGAUUGUCCUCUGCAACUCGAGGGCAUGAAGUUGGAAUCGCUAGUAAUCGCGGAACAGCACGCCGCGGUGAAUACGUUCCCGGGCCUUGUACACACCGCCCGUCACACCAUGG